rnacentral:rRNA from 1 species
CAGUCGCCGCGGGAAUACGGAGGGUGCAAGCGUUAUCCGGAUUCACUGGGUUUAAAGGGUGCGUAGGUGGGUAGGUAAGUCAGUGGUGAAAUCCCCGAGCUUAACUUGGGAACUGCCUUUGAUACUGGGUAUCUUGAGUAUGGAAGAGGUUAGUGGAAUUGCGAGUGUAGAGGUGAAAUUCGUAGAUAUUCGCAGGAACACCAGUGGCGAAGGCGGCUAACUGGUCCAUAACUGACGCUGAGGUGCGAAAGCGUGGGGAGCAAACAGGAUUAGAUACCCCCGUAGUCCCUGUCUCUUAUAC